GGGAAGUUGUCUCUCUGCUUUGUGAUUCACAGGUGGCAGACCAUUAUGACUCGAGUCAGUCUUUGAGAGGUGUGUUUUUUUCUUAUUCCUUUCUUCCAUUUCAUGACUGUUGCAACAAUGUAUUUGGAUAUGGGGGUAUCUCUUGUGAACAUUUUAACCCAUCAGGUACAUAGAAGACGGCUUCAAGGCACAAAGCUUCUCAGUCGUAAGACAUUUUGAUUAUGUAUGUUUCACAAUAAAGCCCAUGUGAUUUAGGAUUAACGUAGGAAGACAUUUAGAAGUUGUGUAUGUGGAAGGAAAGGCCUGUGUGUCUAUUGCUUUACUCGACAGAUGUCGCAGCCUUGUCUUGUGGAAAAGUGAAUCAUGGGCACUACAGGGUUUUCAGCAGGUGUAAGGUAAGCAAAAUGAUCUCGCUUGAAUAGUUUCAGGAUCCACACAGAUCGAGAGGAGCAGCAAAGAACGUGAAGAAAAAAGUUUGUACCAUCUUAUGCCUUCUCUAUCAGAUCCCUUCAAGAGACAAAAUAUCGGACCUUUGCUGCCUAGGAAGACCUUGAUAAUAGGUGUUACUUUUGAACCUUGAGACCCGUGAAUCAUUGAGACGCAAAGGGUUUGGACAGAAAACACUGCUAAUUUGAAAUGUAUAGGGUGAAGGGAAAGUUGUCUCUCUGCUUUGUGAUUCACAGGUGGCAGAGCAUUAUGACCCGAGUCAGUCUUGGAGAGGUGUGUGUUUUUUUCUUAUUCCUUUCUUCCAUUUCAUGACUGUUGCAACAAUGUAUUUGGAUAUGGGGGUAUCUCUUGUGAACAUUUUAACCCAUCAGGUACAUAGAAGACGGCUUCAAGGCACAAAGCUUCUCAGUCGUAAGACAUUUUGAUUAUGUAUGUUUCACAAUAAAGCCCAUGUGAUUUAGGAUUAACGUAGGAAGACAUUUAGAAGUUGUGUAUGUGGAAGGAAAGGCCUGUGUGUCUAUUGCUUUACUCGACAGAUGUCGCAGCCUUGUCUUGUGGAAAAGUGAAUCAUGGGCAACAGGGUUUUCAGCAGGUGUAAGGUAAGCAAAAUGAUCUCGCUUGAAUAGUUUCAGGAUCCACACAGAUCGAGAGGAGCAGCAAAGAACGUGAAGAAAAAAGUUUGUACCAUCUUAUGCCUUCUCUAUCAGAUCCCUUCAAGAGACAAAAUAUCGGACCUUUGCUGCCUAGGAAGACCUUGAUAAUAGGUGUUACUUUUGAACCUUGAGACCCGUGAAUCAUUGAGACGCAAAGGGUUUGGACAGAAAACACUGCUAAUUUGAAAUGUAUAGGGUGAAGGGAAAGUUGUCUCUCUGCUUUGUGAUUCACAGGUGGCAGAGCAUUAUGACCCGAGUCAGUCUUGGAGAGGUGUGUGUUUUUUUCUUAUUCCUUUCUUCCAUUUCAUGACUGUUGCAACAAUGUAUUUGGAUAUGGGGGUAUCUCUUGUGAACAUUUUAACCCAUCAGGUACAUAGAAGACGGCUUCAAGGCACAAAGCUUCUCAGUCGUAAGACAUUUUGAUUAUGUAUGUUUCACAAUAAAGCCCAUGUGAUUUAGGAUUAACGUAGGAAGACAUUUAGAAGUUGUAAGUUGUGUAUGUGGAAGGAAAGGCCUGUGUGUCUAUUGCUUUACUCGACAGAUGUCGCAGCCUUGUCUUGUGGAAAAGUGAAUCUUGGGCAACAGGGUUUUCAGAAGGUGUAAGGUAAGCAAAAUGAUCUCGCUUGAAUAGUUUCAGGAUCCACACAGAUUGAGAGGAGCAGCAAAGAAA